rnacentral:rRNA from 1 species
CUAAUCCUACGGGACGCAGCAGUGGGGGAUAUUGCACAAUGGAGGAUACUCUGAUGCAGCGACGCCGCGUGAGAGAAGACGGUCUUCGGAUUGUAAACCUCUGUCUUUGGGGAAGAAAAUGACGGUACCCAAAGAGGAAGCUCCGGCUAACUACGUGCCAGCAGCCGCGGCAAUACGUAGGGAGCGAGCGUUGUCCGGAAUUACUGGGUGUAAAGGGAGCGUAGUCGGGCGA